CCUCCGGGGAGUAGCUCGUCUGCGCGUUGGCGCAGAAGCACGCAUCAACAUACUUGGCCCGCCGGCCAUGGUGCAUGCGGCCCGCGCCCAAGCGCAGGCU
rnacentral:sRNA from 2 species